rnacentral:tRNA from 1 species
GGGUUAUUAGCUCAGUUGGUAGAGCAGCUGACUCUUAAUCAGCGGGUCGG